CUACUUGCAGGGGAAACCCCCCAUCACAGGACCUGCAGACAAGAGAAAAUUUGUAUUCAGACAAAACUCAACUUUCUGCAGCAUGGGGGUAAAAGGUGCAGAAUGGAGACAAGGAGGUUAAGAUGGGAAGAUGCUCUAGAGAAACAGGUAAGUGAUCACCUUGUGGAUACUUCACAUACCUCCAAAUUCAACACUCCACACUGGUUUGAUUCAUAUAUUUAUGAAUAGAUAUAUAUUUGAUUAUAACUGUUACUUGGUCUGAGUGUAUAUCCACUGCACAUUUGAACGCCACAUACUUACUUUGUUAUGUGUAUCAUCACACUGCGGUAAUUGCACCUCUACCACAAAACCUUAGUGUUAAUUGUAGUCAAACCUCAACUCUGGAAACAAAAUUGCUUUUUGUACAAUUAAUCUUUUAGACACAUUCUAUCACAGACACUGCAACUGCUAUAGCGGAAACAUAACCUCUCUUCUCACUCUAAACAAACCUUCAAGAUUAGUUAGGUGAGUUUAUUUGAAGGUUUUCGUUAAUCCGUUUGUUGGCAGUGCAUUUAUAUUUUGUAAUAGCACUAAGAGUGUGUCAUAUUUCAGUCAGAUGGAAAGUCAUAUGCAUGUCUCCUGGUCCUUCUCUCUAGCUAUAAAAAAUAAUAAUAAAAUGAAAUAAAAUACUAAAAUGCUUAAAGAGAGUGUGUACAAGUAGCUGCUGUUCUAGUCUGCAAGGGUUAAAUGAAAUAAUCACCAUUUUUGGUCCUCCGUUGCCAAACAUUUGCUCAUUAUUACUCAGACUGCCUAGAGAGAGCCACACAUUUUGUGCGAUUAUUAUGGCCAUUUUUGUUUUAUGUACGUACAUUUUUGUGUUUUGUUUUUAACUCGUCACAUGUCGUCUGUACUAAGUUAAAUCUAGAGGGGGUAAUUGGUAAAAGAUGAUUCUUUCUUUUGCAAACUGAACACCAUUAAAAUGGCAGGUUACAAUACCAUAAUGGAAUCUAAGAAGUACCUAAACAUUACACAAUGAUGUCAUUUAUCUUUUUUCCCUAUUUUAAUUCUAACUAAACAUUGAAAAUGUCUUCUUUAACCCCUUAAGGACCAAACUUCUGGAAUAAAAGGGAAUCAUGACAUGUCACACAUGUCAUGUGUCCUUAAGUGGUUAAAGGCCUAUACUGUAUAAAAAACUAUAUCCCCAGAUGUUGCUGACCUACAACUCCUCUAAUGCAUUACCAGCCUUUAAAAUAACAAAGCUUUAUGGAUGCUGUAGUUCUAAAUCAUUUGGGCAUCUACUUUUUUGGAACCCCUGCUAUACAAUAUCGUACAUGUCUUUACAGUAAUACUUGCGAAAUCUCUGUAUUCUUCACCACUAAUUCUCCCUCUGCCAUCAUGGCCAGAAUUAUCUUCUUUUAUCCUUGCCAUAUAUCGUCUAGACGUUUUCUGUUCCAAAUCCUAGAAUGUCUACAGCCGUUCCUCUAAAGUUGUCUAGAAAGCUAUAAAUAUAAUUUGCUUUUGUUUAUAUCUGUAUUUUCCCCAAUGAUAUUUUGAAUGUGUCUUGAAUGACGGGGUACCCAAUAUUUGUAGUAUGGGAUAAUGCUAGUGCUGACUAAGUGCUUACUGAAAGAGAUCCUGUUAAAUUAAUUUGUUAAAAAAAACAAAACCCAAAAAAAUAGAAACUUGAUACUGGUUUAAUAAUAUAUUAUGAUUUAAAAAAAAAUUAUUAUAAUAUUAAUUCUACUAUAAUGCAAAUGUUUAUGAAAAAGCCAAAUGCAGAGAUGUAUUUAUUCCAGAAAAAUCAUAGCAUUAUUUUUUUUUUUUUUUUAGAAAAUAUAAGGUUGCUAUAGAUUAUUGUCUAUAAAAAAAAUGUCAUUGUUUCAAAGUCCAAUGGUUUUACACCAUUUGUGAUUUUUCAGGAAAAUUUGCAGGGGCCAGCUUCACACGAUUAUCUUAUAGAUUGUUUUAUUAAUGUAACCCCCUAUGCAAGCUCAUGAACUUGAGUGAACUUGAAUGCCCUCUUACUAUUGUAAGUAGAUAUGCCUUAGGUAAAAGUCUUUAAGUAGUCUUAAGUAGGCAAAGCCACAGAGGUAGUGAGUUUCUGUUCAAUAUUCCCAUGUAGCUGAUAAUUAUUUUAGCACAUUUCAGAUACAAAUUCAGUGCUUAAAGAAUUAAAUCAACGGCAAUACUGAUGAUGAAACAUGAGUGUGCUUAAGGCAAGUGAGUGAGACUUUCUCUGAGUGAGUGUGGCCUUUUAAGUCUGCCAAACCUCACAGUUACUUCCUGUUAGGACUGAGACCCAUUUUUUGGCAGCUGAGGCGGAGGCAGCUGCUCCAGAUGUGACCACUUUAACCACUGGAAAAACCCCGAGGCUCUUACUGUCAUGCUACGACGAGAGAUUUCCCCUCUCACCACACAUUAAAAUCAAAGCUCCUUGUACAAUGCUUAUUAUCUGUUAUUCAUAAAGCGCCAAAAGACAUGCUUGCAAAGGCAAAGAGGCUUUCUGGAUUACUGAGAGGCCACCAUUCUCCAUUUUAGGAAGUAUUUCCCAGCUUCCCUAGUGUAUAUUAAUGUGUAAAGCUGUUUUAAUGUCCUGAUUAGCACUAUUAAAAUCAAAUGAACCAUCUCUCCACUGUGGAGAGAUACUAAAAUCACAGAUUUCUAAAAUGCAUUGCCCUGUUUUACACUCAAAAACAGCGUGAAUAGUCAGUAAGCAUGCAAAGGUUCAUAUGGCCUUGAACGCUGGUCAUUUUUAGUCAGCUGAACUGAAAAACGUUAUUGUCCAUUAACAAGGGCUGCUUAACAGCACCACAGCACCCACCGCAGCUACAACUCCCAUUACGUGCAGACUGCAGGUCCGUAUCAUAUUGUGUAUGCUUGUAUUACACUUUUCGACAGAAGCGUAAGCAGAGUUAUGUGUCAGAAACUUCCUUACAUUGGGCAUUGUUUAAUUAGGUACAUCAGGAGCCGGGAGCUGGAAAUUGCUCUGGGCCUAAAUACAGAAUUUCAAUUUGUGUUUCUGGUUUCAUGCGCCUGACAUUGCAGCCAUAGGUUAAACCAUCCCUGCAUGCAUGUAUAAACAGGAAAUUUAAAGCAUACAGAAUCCAUUAUCACAGCACAGAGACAUCCUCUGGGGGAGCAAGGAGUUAAAGGGAUCACAGCCCUUCCAAUGGGUCACUGGGCACAAUGGGCACCUUUGGCACUUCAUGCUCAGCCAGGCCAAUGAAGAUAUCUGUGCCUCUUUGACCAGGUGCUAUGAGUAUGGCACCCAGUAUUUAUAUUCACACAAGAAAAUAAAAUUAAACCAUCCGGCAACAUGGGUAACUUCCAAUACAUGGGCCAGAGGUUUCUGCUCCCAUAGCCCCUAUGUUAAAGAGACACUCUAGAAUACAAAUAUGAAUUUCUAAUGUAAGAAGUAAUUCAUUACUAUUUAAAUUUAUCCCUCACCAUAAUAAAAUAAAGAAGAUUUACUUACAUUUAGCACAAUGUCACACAAAUCUGCCUCUCUGCCCCUGGCUGUGAUCAUCAGUGAUGAUAUCAGCCAAACCAGUACUCCCCCAUAGGGAUGCCUUGGGGCCUUUGCAAAGACCCCAACAGUGACAAUGUCACUUUAAUAUACAUGGCUUUUUACUAAUUAGCAAUGUUAUCCUUACCUUGACACCUGGAUGCUUGCAAACUACGUUUCUUAUGAUGCAAAGCAUACUCUGAGUAAAAUGUAGUUCUCUGACAUCUUGAGAACCCAUCACUGACCCGACAGAGUAUGUAGGCUGUGGGGUGGCUGAUUGAUAUUAUUACACAGUAUAAGGGAUCAAUAUUAGUUUAACAGAGUCUGUUACUCCCCGACUGAUGCAGCUACUGUUUGUUUUACUCAUUUUGCUGGCCAGAUCACAUGCAAACAUUUAUUAAUAUUUGUCAUGCAGUACAUUGGUAAUCACACCAAUUAGUAUAAAAUGUAUAUAUCAGCCUCAUCAUGCAGUAAACACUAUAUUCAAUUUGAUAAUCACUGUGACUUUAGAGUCCCCAGGAGUGAGGUAUGUAUUAAUUCUAUAUAUAUAUAUAUAUAUAUAUAGCAUAUAUAAUAUAUGCAAUUUCUAACCAUUUAUUACAAUUCAUUUUCACAAUUCACACUCUAACAUCAGCACAAUGAGGUCAUGUUUAUAAAUCCCAUACUGUACUAUGAGUGACACAGUCACACAUUGCAAUAGAAGUAAUGUACAGUUGACUGACAUUUUUUUGCAUAGGACCCCCAGAGGUAACAGCAACUGUAAUUCAGUUUCUCUCCCAUUACUGACAUGUUAGGACAGUGUGAUUCUCUCCCUCUCUGCUCCUCUCCUAGCAAAUGUGUAAGUGUAGAAGGGCUGAAUUUCUGAGUGGAAUACUCAUCAUUCGUGGGUAAACCAUGUUGUAUGAUUAAAGCAAGUGGGGGAUAGAGGCUAUAGUGGGAAAUAGGGGAUAUAAUGGGGAGUUAGUGGAUAUAGUGGGAGGAUUAGUGGCUGCAGUGGGGGUUUAGAAGAUGUAGUAAGGGGAUAAAGGGCUGUAGCAGGGGUUAGAGGUAGUAGUGGGAAGAUAGGGGCUGUAGGGAGGGAAAGGUGCUGUAGUGGUGUAUAAAGGCAGUAGUUUGGGUUAGAGGUUGCAGAGGGAUGUAGGAGCUGAAGAGGGGGUUAGAAGAUAUAGUGUGGAGAUAAGGCACUGUGAAGGGUGUUGGGAGCAGUAGUGAGGAUUAAGGGCAGUGGUGGGAGCUAAGGGCAGUAUUGGGUGUUUGGUUAUUGGCAGUAUUGGGGGUUUAUAAUUAGUAGUGGGGGUUAAAGGCAGUAGUAGGGGGUUAUGUGGUGUAGUGGGGCAGGUAUGAGGCUUUAAUAAAAAAUAAAUUAAGCGCAGUUUCUUCUUCCUCCCCUUAAGAUUACAAUGGGCCAGGGAGGAUAGAAUCAUUAUCCUUUGUGGUCCGGUUGUAAAUGCAGCUUGAUCUGCACCCCAAGUGGGUGCAGACAGCUCCUUCCGCCAUGAUAACCAUAUAUAAGUUUUGCCAUGAUAACCAGUGGCAAUGCUCUAAUACAGUAGAAGGGGCAGAGAUUUUGGCCUGGUAGUACAGAGCAAGUUAUACCUCCUCCAUCUCAGAUCAGGGUCAAGCAGGGGACUGCAGCAGCUAUGCUUGAUUUCUCAAGCGGUCGGCUGCCAACUUGUUCAGCAACCAGCAUCCCUACUGUAUUUGGGGGUGCUUAGGCACCCCAAGCACACCCCAUGCGCACGCCUAUGACUACUUUUGAACAGAAAACUUAGAAACACCUGUUUUGAACUUUGACCUAACUAGCUCAUGCCAGUCUUUGCCUUCAACUUAUACAUACUGCACAGACAACUCAAAAGAGACACAAAAAUAUUCUAAUAUUUUUAUUAUUUUUAUAAAAUUAUUAUAUUAUAUUGUAAAAUUAUUGUAUUAUAAUAUUCAUUAUCUGGAGAGCAUUUCUUUCUAUAAAAAGGUGAGGACUGAAAUGUUGACUCUAAUGCAUUUAUUUAUUUUUUUUAAUUUUUUUUUACAUUCUACUUUUUUCCUUUGAAUAUAUGAUUUCUCUUUUUUAUUUUGUAUUUUUAAGUGGCUAUUUUGCAACAUACUAUCUAUGUGAGUGCCACAUCUGAUUUGUUCUUUUGAUGUACAAAUGCUGUCUUCACUCUGAAUUCAGAUUUGUCGUGAAUUAACAACCAGCUGGCAAAACAUAGGAAAAUAUAUACUAGAGUUUGCUGACCUAAAUUUUGCAAUAUGAUUUUCAACUAGUCGUAGGUGAAAGCAUCAGACAGAAAUGUAAGAGAAACUUAAUAAUUCAUAAUUUACAAUUAACCCUGACAUCCACUAAUCAUUGUAGUGCUGGGAAUUCAUCAAGGAAUUGCAAAUAUAAGGGCCAAAAUAGUUGACUUGGAAACAUGGGUGACUUGAUGACAUUCCACAAACUCUUACAGGGUUAUUCACAAAAGUGAGAAUUCAAAGUGGAUUUCAUAUUUAAGGCUAGACUAGCUGAACCGAGAGCAUAUCUGACUUCCAGUUUGGCUACUUUGACCUUAAAUUUGAAAUUCACAUUGAAUUCUCACUUUGGUAAAUAACCCUAUAAUUUGUAAAAUGUAGGUAAAAUAGUUUUGUAUUGGAAGAUUUUGUUUUUACAUCACAGAUAUGUUGACCUACAUUUUCUAAUCUUUGCUUUCAAUUAAUCAUCUUUCCUUAGAGGAACACUCUGGGCACCUUAGCUCCAUCUCAGAAAAGUUGUUAUGGUGUCAGUCUUGGGGUAAACCUGUUUACUAGGUGUGUACUUUUCUCGCACAGCUUUGUAAAAUCUCUCAGCCUCACCCAGUCUGAGAAUUCAUUAUUGAAGCCCUGGACCAUUGUCAGACGCCAGGUGCAUGAUCAAUUGGGUACCGUCUUUGCAACUUUGGGGUUAAACUGUUCAUAAAAAGGACGGUGCUCAGGACCUCUUAACACCAUAACAACUUUAUUAAAAUUAAGUUGUUAUGUGCCUGGAGGUUUUUUUUAACAUAUGUUUAUAUCUAUAUUAGAGUUGUAGCUUUUGGCAGGAAAUUAUGGAGGAGUAUGGGGCAGGCAGUAAAGUAUGGAAUAGCUCUAAAUCAGAUGACAUCCAUUCCCUUCAACCUAAUUUCAUAUCUCUCUCCAGAUCUCUUCCGUUAACAUCUAUAUUCAUCUCAUCUGGUUAUUCUCAUUCCAUCCUCUUCCUUUUUUUUCCCAGACUCAAUUUGCCUCAAAUUGCUUCAUCUCUUUAUUCCGUCUACUUCUUAAUUAUACCUCCUCUCGCCUACCACAGGCCAACUCUACUUCAAAGAAUUGUUUUUAAAAUUGUUGACUUAAAACGUUUCAUUAAGGCAUUGGGUACAUAGCUGUAGCACACACAUCACAUGGACACUGGCUGAUACUGAUGGGAUUCACCAUAUAUUGAAUCCUAAGCCGUUCUUAUGCCUAUCUCUAAUUGUAAGUCUCUACUAACAGCUGUCUUAUAAUAAUGUUUUGGUCCUAGUAAUUCAGCAAUGCCGUAAUGUUUUAAAUAUGACAGUAAAGCUAUAAAUACACGCCUCUGCAACCCAAAUCUUUAUUUCUUUCCCCUUACUCAUCCCAUUUAAUCACUCCUUAUUCUAUCUCCCUCCCUCGUCAAUCAAUCUCUUCCUUUUAUUUACACGCUCAUUCCAUUCCUGUUCUCUGGGUCCCUGCACUCUUGCCUCUACCACGGUGUCACUGUCCUUUCCUGACUCUGUGAGUGUAAGAAGUUCUUGUUAUGGGAGUGUUGGCUAUAUGGUCAUAUCCUUGUGCCAUCCACCAUUAGACUCUUAUCACACAUGUAGGAUGGGGCAGUGACCGGGCAUCAAUGGUACAAAUACAGCAUAGUACAGAAAAGUGAUGAUUACCACUGCCAGGAUAGAGAACACAUUCCGAGUAGCCUCCUGUUUCUUCAAAGUAGCAUUGCAACUAGCUUUGAUGUUGGUAACACAAGCAGUGCCAUUUGAAACAUUGUGUUUUUUAAAACUUUAUUCUACAGAAUAACAAUUAUCACUAUUCUUAUUGCUCUAUAGCAGGGGCGCACAAAAGGUAGAUAUCUAGACAUUGUAGAACUACAAUGAUGCUAUCCAUGCCUUUAGAAUGUUUUAGAAAGACAAAGUAUCACGGAAGCUGUAGAUCUACAACGUCUUGGGAUCUACCUUUUAAGCACCCCUGCUCAAUAGAAUUUCAUAAACUGGGAACUGCUGCACUUAUAGAACUGUAACCUCUUAGACGUCUCACACUUCAAGCAUGUUUACUACAGUCAAGAUGAUUUAUGGAACUGUUUCACAUUGGUCCAUUUUUUCUACAGAUGUAAUUGUUUAGCAGCCAUAAAAUCAACACUGCCAGAGAGAUUACUUUAAACGGAUACCUCCUCCAUAGAAUUUGCUGUGUAAAUGUUAGCUGUUGAAGAAGCCAAUGGUUGGAAUAGCUGAAAUACUUGAUUGCAGCAUUACCAUACAUAGCCAAAAUGGAAGCACUUUAGGUUUGGUGCCUUCAUAUUUAUGGAGAGGAAGAGGUGACAGAGAUUUAAGAGUGAUAAAGAAACAGAGUUAUUAUAAUGUUGUAUAUUCCAAGAGUAGGUUGGUCAGAACUGGUUUAAAAUAAACCAUUUUGUUUGGAAAAAGGGAGAACUUGGAACUUUUGGAGUAAUCCAAAACAGGACAAAGUUAUGAACACAUAUUAGAUAGUAACAGGUGUAGAAAGUGGGCAUAUCAUGACGCUCAGAUGUCUGAUGUAAAUUACAACAUUCACAUACUAUUUACAGUGAAUAUUGGUUAAUUAUUUUUUAUAAAGUUCCAACAUAUUCUGCAGCAACGUACAACAGCGGUAUUACAGACAAGACAGGCAUUUUAGCCUAAAGCUUGCCAUUCAGAUUGCAUUUUCUAAAAUUCUGAGUUUAGCAAAUAACCCUGCAUAUGUUUAAGCAAGUAAGAAAGGUUAUAUAAAAGUACAUGUGGUUUACCUAACCACACGGUACUUGGGUUUAAUUAAGGAGGAUAACAUAAAACUCAAGAACUGGGCCAAACAUACCAUCUUUUUAAAAAUUUUUAUUUGUUCUUAUUUAUACUUAUUUGUUCUUUUAUGCAUUGCUUGCCGCAUCAACAGAAAUGCAUUUUUGGGGUUUGUGGUUUAGAACAGUCACUCAUUUCCUGCUGUCCCCAUGGCUCACGGAUGACCCAUCAUUCCACUGCUUAUACUAUGUCCUUUCUCACAUGUUAUUUGACCUCUCCAAUUUUUAUACAGCUGCUCUUUUUUUUGUUUUUUUAUCGUAACAAGAAUGUUACAUGUAAACAGACCAGCUAAGUGUUUGUGUCACACGCUCCCCAUUUCCUCUAGCAAUUAACCCUUUAUGUGGAUUCAGAAUUGUCUGGAGAAAAUCUUUACUUUUCACUUUUUUUUUUGGUAUCAAUGCGUUGGUGAGUCUUAUCUCUUAUUUUACCAGCUCGUUCCUGCAUCUUUGUAACCUUUAUACCUUUAUUUUAUUGUGCCGCACGAAUUCUAAACUCAGAGUGACAUCCGUAAUAUCAACUAACUGUUAGUCACAUUUUCAAUAUUUGAUUAAGUUGAGAACAGGCACGCACCAAAAUAAGGAAAUGUUUUAAUGGAGCAGAGCAAAGGAUCGGCUCUAAUUCAAUAUUAAUUUAAAUUAUGGGAAAUGAAGGCCAAAGCUGCAAAAUAAGGGACAAUAAAGCCAAGCCGGAGAUUUAGCAGACUUAGAGAGUUAUGGAAAAAAUCUAUAUUAGACUAACCUGUGUUACGCCUUAGUUACCCACAACACAGUGUAUACUGAAUGUCGAAAAAGAAAAUACAUUCUUAAAUCAAUCAAUACAACAUGAGAAAAUUAGAAGGGAACUUGAACUUCUGUUAACCGUAACCCUGGCCAGCAUAGUUUGUUAUUUGCCGCAGGGGUAGGCAACCUUUGGCACUCUAGAUGUUGAAUGACGCUGUAAAGGCAUUAUGGGAGUUGUAGUCCACAAACAACAUCUGGAGUGCCAAAUGUUAUCUACCCCUGCCUUACAGAACGAGUACCGAUUACCCAACAUAAAAUAUUUAGGGGACAAACGUCCAAAGUUGAAAUUAUCCUCACUUCUGCAGGACUGGAGUUUGUUUUCUGCUUUUUAGUCUAAAAUUGUGAGUCAGUUCAACUUGCAGUUUUAGUAAUUAAAAAUGAAGCCAAACUGCUUUUUUACUCGAAACGUUUAUUAAUUAGUAAUUUUAUUAUAUUGAUGUACAUUUAAUCACUAAACAGUAUGAAAAAUAUGUGGAAAAUGUAUCACAAAGUAACAAAGUUUGGAAAUAAUCUACCAUUACUGCCAUGCUACAGAUUUCACUUUAGUCACUGGAAUAAAUAGACACAGAUAGAAGAAGGACGUACUGGAGUAUAUGUUUUAUUUAUUUUUUGUUUGUAAUUCUACAAUCAACUUUGGCUGAUUGCGGAACUCUGUGCACCCUGUGGGUAUGUGCUGCUGCACAAUUUGCUAUAAAUGCAAAUCAUCAGCUCAGCCAGCAAGUACAGAUGUGUAUAUCAUAUCUGGGAUUUGUGUCACUGACAUAACAACAAUACGAUAGCAGGAGUUUAUAUAUAUAAAUAUCUAAAUAAUACUGCUUGCAAGUUAAAUGUACUGUAGGUGUAAACAAAUCACAUAAUAAACAGAUACAAAUCACAUAGUAAACAGAUACAAUUUACUUACAAAACUAGCAAUAUUGAUUUUGUAUUUAGCUAUAAAAGUGGUCCACUAACGCCUACAUUUUUCUCCUAAUUCUUGAAGAGCUCGAACUGUUCUUUGAGUUUGCCCAAGUUGAGGAGCUCAAUGCAACAAAAGUAAGGUGAUUGUCAAUGAAGCAAUUUGCACAGCACAUGGCUAGGUCCCUGCUAUCAGAACUAGCUGAAUUUCACACCUACAUAUUGGUGAUCUUUGUGGACCAUGACCUGAUAGAGAACUGUACUUCUUGAUGAUUUAUUAUAAUAAUAAUAAUCAUUGAAGAGGUUCGGUGGAGCAGGGACUUGACCCGCGGCAAAGGCACCAAAAUUGCCUUGGCUUCAUUGGAGAGCCCUAUACCAUUUUACUUCUCUCUAAUUGUUUUGUGUUUUUUUCAGAAUGCAAAGACACGGUGUUUUUGGCAUUCCUUGCAAUCCAAAACAUUUUAAUACGUCAGAUGGAUGAGACGGCGCUGUAUGUGGCGUUAUAUCUUAUUUAGAUUGAAAUUGAGUGGUAAAGGGGGCUUUUGCCACUAAGAAGGCUUUGUUCUUGUGUUUCUCAGACUGAACACCAACAAAUUCCACCAGUUUAUGGCCCAAAAUGUAAUCAGGAGAUAGCAAAAUUAGACUUUUUGGGUUGUAUCCUUUAAUAAAUAUUGUAUUUAUUACAACAAUACAUUGCCUUACAUAUUGAAGUGCACUGCUGUUUUUCUCACAAAGGGUUAAAAUACAUGUAGCCAAAUUAUUACAUGCUAGGUUUUCCAGUUUUAUUUGAACCAUAGACACAAAGCACUUGGACAAUAAUGUAAACACACACACACACACACAUUAAUUUAUGGUCUCAUAGUCAGCAUGUUCAGCAUUGCUAUAUAAGGUAUAUCUAGAACUCGGGGGAAUUAAAUGGCACACAAGCUGGGUUAUUCACUAAAGUGAGAAUUCAAAGUGAAUUUUAAAUUUACAGAAUUAUUCACUAAAAUUAGAAUUUAAGGUGAACUUAAAAUGGAAGUGAAUUUCAAAUUGAAUUCUCCUUUUGGUAAAAAACCCUGAAGGUAUUACAGCCUUGUUCACAAGAACUGACAUUAAAGAGGGAAGGAAAUCGGGAGCAAAUAUGUUUAUAGAAAGGUUUACUUAUCUGCUUGUGCAUUAUAUAUAUAAUUGUAAUAUUUCUAGUAAAAGUCUGGUAAAUUAAGAUUACAGGAGAAAGGAAAGUUAGGGAGAAAGAACCAGAAUCUUUUUUUUAAGCACUGGAACUACAUCCCUAACACCGUUUGACAGGUGAAAUAUACAUGACAACAUUCCAGUUCAACUUAGUGUAUUCACAAAUGUUUGCAAUUUUCAAGCCUGAUAUGGAAAUAUGAAUACACUGUUUAUCGAGCCAACAUUCCACAUUCUUCUACAACAGAGUUACGUUUAUUGCUAUGACAAACCAAAAAUGCUGCGUGUCUUUCUUGUUAAAUCCCACAUUGUAAGAUUAUUUUGUAUAAAUAUACUGAUAUAAGAUCUAUCUGUAGCAAUAGAAGCUAUAUCUUUGUAAUAUUCCCAAACUGCCUUGGGGUUUCAAUACUAUAAUCUAUCUUAGAAUCAGCCACUGAAAAACAGCACAUGCCCCCAGCAGUCUGGCUUACUGCCGGAGGAGGAUUUGGACUGUUUGAAGUCCCACGAAUCUGCCUCUGACCAUAAAAGGAAGAGACAUUUUUCUUCAGUCUGGAUCAUGGAAAAAGAAUAAGCUAUUUUUAGGUAGAGGUCUGGCUGCCUGUGAGAGAGGCUGCACUGUAUGAUAGUGAUCUAUAUACUGUUCUAGUGUUCUGACACAUUAACAGAUACAUACUAUAGAUACAAUGAAACACAGCCAUCUACGCACCUCCCACCCAAAUGCUUUGGAUAUGACAAAAGUGAAUUUAAAAAAAAUUAAAUUGAGUUUACGUGGCUGAUAAGAAAGGAGUUUAGACAUUUUCGGUCAUUUUCAGAUAAAUAUACAUAUAUGCAGCAUUAUAUAUAUAUAUAUAUAUAUAUAUAUAUAUAUAUAUAAUAUAUAUAUAUAUAUAUAUAUAUAUAUAUAUGUAUGCAAGAAACCAUAGAAAUGUUGCAAAAAUAAAAAAAAGACACAAUGGGACUAUAUAGUCUGUCCGUUACUGAUAUUUUAUAUUUGAUUAUUACGCUUUUUUAAAUUUUUGCCGAUCCCAAGCACCAUCAUUUUGCCAAAUAAGGAUGCACGUUAGUCCAAGAUAUUCCUGUGUGUAUGUAUAUGCCUUACUGGUUUGUUUAACCCCUUAAGCACACAUGACAUGUGUGACAUGUCAUGAUUCCCUUUUAUUCCAGAAGUUUGGUCCUUAAGGGGUUAAAUGAUGUCAGUCAUUCCCAAUGUGCAUCACAUUAAUCUGAUUUUUUUGCAGUCACUAGAGGCGUUAGGUAAAAUUACAUUUUGUGUUUAAUACAUAGAUAUUUUAAAUAUCUUUAAGCUACUUAAUGUUCUUGGAAUACAUAUUUCAAUAGUACCUAAUUUCUCCACGUUACUUAUCUGCCAAACCCAUAACUUUUAUAUCUCAUUUAACCUCAUCUUGUUUUAAAAGUUUGUUCCUAGUUUGCUAAAUGCUCUCAAGUCUCCAGAGUCUACCCAAUGUCUUCAAUCCCUAGUUGACGGGGAUUUACAACUCCUGAGCCCACCUUUUGGCCCAAAGGCUCAACCACCUAAAACUAAAAUCAUGGCAACAUUUUGGCUUGCUAUGCUUGAUUAAAGCACAAGUCAAAAUGAUACUUUGAUUUCACGUUGAUGCUUCAAUAAAAGUCUACAUGAAGUCUAAGGUGGUUGAGCAGAAUAUAUCUGUUUUAAAGGUUGUGAUAAAACCAGCGACAUUGUAGAGGAUGCAGCGGUCCUGUGCUCUCAGACAUACAUGAUUAUUCACUAAAGUGAGAAUUGCCAUAAAUUCAAAGUGAAAUUAAAAUUUUAGGCUAAAAUAGCUGAGUUGGAGGCAUUCCUGACUUAGAGAAUUUUUCCAAGUCGUCUAUUUUUGUCUUAAAUUUGAAAUUCACUUUGAAUUGACUUACAAUUCCGACCAGUUCUCCUUUUAGCAAAUAACCAUGUUAUUGUUCUGGGGUUUAUAAAUGUGUGAGAUUCACAAGUAAGUGUGGACCUUAUUUAUACAAUAAUACAUACUAUAUGCCUAAUUCAGCGUUCUGUGUACUUUCUUUUCAGAUAUAUUUUGUUUAAAUGUGAUUGCUGCUGAAUGUGUAUUAUAAUAUUAUAAUAUAUAUAUAUAUUUUUUUUUAUUUUUUUUUUAAAUUUCUUUUAUUUAUCAAAUUUUAUCAAAGUACAUAUUUUCUCUUUUAGAAAAUGUAAUACAUAUAAAACAUUAACAUAUUAGCCAUUCUAUUACAUAUACAUGAACAUUAACUACUACAUUCAAAUACAUACACUUUUCACACAUAGCUUAACAUUGCAUAUAUUUUUCUAUAUAAGCUUCUGAUUAGAAUAUACCUUUAUUGCUUAUCUUUAACUUAUUUGCCCCUUAUAUCUUCCCGUUUUAUAUUUAUAGAGGCUUUAUACUGAGACAUGUUUCGGAUAUUUCUCUUUUUUGACGAACCUUAAUCUCCCGUGUAUCACUUAAUAUAUUCUAUCUGAUUGCCACAUCUCCAGCAACAAUCCUGUCGGUCUUUGUACAUAUUAUUAUAAUAAUGGUAAUUCAGAUUUGGGAUAUAUAUACUGUGUUGCGGACUCCAUAACUUUCAUAAUCUAUAUGUUGGCGCUUUAUAAAUGCCAGUAAUAAAUAAAUAAAUAAUCUAUUAAUUAUUUUGUGUGUGAAUUUUAUCUUUACACACUUGAAGACUAGCGUUUCCUUGUGUAGAAUGCAGUCCUUAGAUGAGGUCAGAAGUGGUUUUAAAUUUGCAGGGAUUCUCGACCGCUAAAUCAUUGAAAUGUAAUGUAUUUCAAAGUGUUCUUAAAAGUGACAGUUAAAUUCCACCAUUAUUUUGAUCGCAUUUAUUAAAAUGAUAUAAAUAGUGAUUGUUUUCUACAUAGUACAUGCGAACAGUUUUCACAGAAAUUUCCAUUUCGGAAGACUGCCAAAUUGAUAGCGACAGAAAUUUUUUGCCACUUUUCUUGAAAUAAAUGGUGGAAAAAUUCAUAAAUCUGCGUUGGUGAAAAAAUGGUGCUUAUUCAAAAAUGACAUAUAAGAAAAUUGUCGGUGACACUUUGGGAAAUCUCCAUCAAGAUAAUUGAAACUCAUUUUUUUUACAUACAUGUCUAGCCCCCACCCCAACCUCCCAAAAAAAAGAACUGCCCUUUACAUGUCUGGUUGAUCUGUAACAUGAUGUAGAUUACUUGCAAUGCAUUAGGGGUAACAGAGUAUAGGAUACAGUGAUAGAACGGUUCACAAUGAAGAACAGCUCUGACAUCUCUGACAUCAUCACUGGGGCCUGGUCGGGCACCUAAAGCGCCACAGCGCUGACCGGGCCCAAGGAAAUCCAUUGCCAUCAGGUGGCCCCAAGAGCAUGGGACACCCGAUCGGCUCCUUCAAUGCGCCCCUGGCGUUUUUUCCAUGCGGUCGGUGCCGUACCAAAAUGCUGGCGGGCCACCUGGAGUGACAGGCCGGUCGCAGCUGCAACCUCUGCGACCGAGGUAGUUCCACCAGUGCUAAAAACGUAUAGAACACGACCCAGAUGUUGUCUUUUUUUUCCAGUCACUUUUUUUCUCCAGAACUCCUUUUUUCAUAAAAAUGAAUAAGAAAAAAACAACAACAUGAGAACCCUUUAUUUCUAAUACAUCCCCUUUCAUCCAAUAUGAAAGCACUGUCAUGGGGGUUAAACCUCCAGGAAAACACUCAUCAACUCAGGAGACAAGACUUGGAGGACAUCCAAGUCAUGAAGGGAACCUCAAAUGUAGUCAACAGCAGCAAAUGUCUGAUGUGAUUGCUCUGCUAAAUUCCAUUCAUACUAUGAAAGCGUAAUUGCCCCUGUUUAAGUUUCACAAUGAUGGUAAUGUAUACAGAGCUGCGCUAAUGACUGAAAAAUAGCUAACAGGCCAAACACAAUGAUUUUCAUUCCCUUAAGCAAACCUGAUUUUUAUAAUUUUAAGAGGCCCAGAUUAUCCCUGCAAGAAGAAUGCUUUCACCAUUUGGAAUUCGGUCAGUUUCUGGAAAUUUCGCAAUGUUUGUCCAUCUUAGGACAGAACCUGCAUAGUACAUUUGGAUUUAAUUCCUUGAAGCAAAUAACACAAGGAAUAGAAAACCUUAAACAUACAGAUUUCAAUCCAACCCCAACCAUUCACACAGAUAUACACACACUUAAAGGGACAGACAAACUUAUAGGACAGUCUAAGCACUAAAAACAUGUAAUGUUACUGAAGUGAUUUUAAGGCACAGAUGCUGCCCCCCACAGCCUUGCAAAUGAAAACAGUGUAGUUUCUGGGAAACAACAUUGAUUACAUUUUACAAUUUCCACUUUCCUAGUGGUUGUCGUUAAGUAGGCGUAGAAAUAGCAACAUGUAAAACUUUGGAUUCAGACACAAAUAUCUACAUCAAUGCAUCUCAAUUCAGUCCUUAGCGAAACAUUAGAUUGGUGGAGCAUAGCGUGUACAAGUAAUAACGGAGUGGUUUUUGUAUUGUAUAUAUUUUUUUUACAAAUAGGAAGGCUUGGCCUGGAGUUGUGGGAGGGGCAUGGUCCCCUAUUUAAGCCCUCUACUCACCUCCACCUGUCCCGUUUCAUUUCCUUACCGUCACUUGACCCCACCCUCCUCUCCCUUUUAAUACUUUUCUUUACUCAUUACUGGGUGGGCCCUCUUUAUUUACAGGCCUACUGCUACGUCGGUUCCGGCACACCUCAACCGACUUGCCGUCUUCGUACACCUUUGCUAUACCUUCAUACUCUCCUUACACUCUUGCCUCGGCUUUUAUGCCCCUACCACAAAUGUAAAUCUGCGUCUGUGUUAUUGUUUUAUUUUUGCAUUUCAGGGCUUACAAAAUACAGACAGAGAGUGUGACAGGACAUACUCACAGACACAUGUACAGACAGAAAAACAGAAGGAAUUACUGAUGGAUGACCAUAUAAUCAGAUAAAUGUGGAACAUUUUGGAAAGUUGGUCAUUCACAUUGAGAAACAGACACGUUGUGCCUUUGUGAGGCUAAUAAUGUAGAAAUCAGAAAGUACAUGUAUAUCGUUUCUUUAAAACAAUACCACCCAGCCUGUCUGUCAGUGUAUAUUGCCACAAGGUUAGUUUAGAAUAUAAAAUCAUGGAUUACUAUAUUACAAUGGUUUAAGUAUGGAAGCACUCAGCAGACCUCUAACAGAUGUGACACCAGAUGUAAUAUUUCAAAGAAGAUCUUCCGUUAGUGUAGUAAACAAGCUGUCACAUCUGAAAGAUUCUAGUUCCAUUGUUUGUCCUGAACGUACAACAAGAAUAAUAUCUGUAUUAUUCUAUAAAUAAUAUUACAAAAUUACUAUAUUCCAUGAUCUGCCUUUAAUAUCAAACACUGUAAUGCAUGGGUGGAGACAUAAUCUGUGCAAUUAUUUACUAUAAUGAGCAACCCAUUGUACCUGGAUUAUCUCUGUGCGAAGGUGGGGUCCUGAUCUUGGCCAAGGUUAGUGAGAGUCUACCUCCCAAAUAAAAACCUUUAUAUCACCUGGUUAGACCAAUGUAACAUCCAAGUCAUGAAGCACGUAAGACAAAGUGUAGAACCAGGAAAAUCCCAGUUAGACCAUCUCACCGGUAAGUGUCUUUGGGCAAGACACCGAACAAUAUAUAUCCACUUACCUCAAAUCCUCAUACAUUAUGAGCUCAUUUGAGCUUUCUUCAUCUCUAAAUAUCACUUUCUAUAAUUACACGCUGUGGAAUAUGUUGGUGCUAUUAAAAUGCUAAUAAUAAUAAUUUUAAUAGCAAUAAAGGCAGACGACAACUGUAACUCCCAGGUCCCCUGGCUGUCCUAACAGUAACAGUAAGACCAUGGCUGUCUUAACCCCUGCACUAAACUGCACUAUACUAUGCAUCAGAGGUCCUCAAACUCCGGCCCCCCAGAUGUUGCUGAACUACAACUCCCAUGAUUCUUUGUAUUACAUAAAUAGCCAGAGAAUCAUGGGAGUUGUAGUUCAGCAACAUCUGGGGGGCCAGAGUUUGAGGACCCCUGCUAUACAUUAAGCCCUACACUACUCUGUCUCUAAACAUUAACCCACACUCUACAUACUUGUGCCACUAAAAAUUAACCCCUAUACUAAACUGUCCCUAAACAUUAACCCCUAUAUUACACUGUCCCUAAACAUUAACCCUUACACAGCAUCACACUGUUACUGAACAACAAGCCCUUCACUACACAACAUAAUUACCAUUACAUAACUACACAGUAACCCAUUCACUACCUUAAACACUACACUAGCACUAACACCUACACUACUAUAACUAUUAAACCCUGCACUACCCUAGCCACAACCACUGACCCCUACGCUACCCAAACCCUAAGCCUUUAUCAGGGAAAAAUAAUGCCUUUGAUUUAAUUGUUUAUUGUAACGUCUCUAGAACCUCUGAAUAGCAUUACACUGCUAAGGCAUAGUUCAAUGUAAUAUAUAGCCAGUGUAUAAUAACACAGAGCUGAAAUACUUGUUUGUGUAAUACUUUCUUCCAUCUAUUAAACAUAGAUCUGAAUUAUGAUUUGCAUAUGAAAUUAAUUAGGAGACCUAAAAGAUUGCCAUUAUGCUUCAUUAAUGGAGUCAACUCACUUAAAGAAAAGGGACACUAUAGUCUCCAGAACAACUAUAGCUUAAUGUACUUGUUAUGGUAUCUAUUGCAUGUCUCUGAUGGUAUUUUAAUGUAAACACUGCUAUUUCAUAGAUAAGUCAGUGUUUACAUAGCUGCAUGGGACACCUCCAGUGGCAGUCAUUUAGAUGCUGUGCAGCACUGACAUUCAGCGACGCCACGCUCUGCAUGGAAAUGCUGAACAUUCCCCAUAGAGAUGCAUUGAUUUAACGAGACAUGCUGACUGGCCAGCGCAGCAUUUUGCCUCGUAUGCGCAAUAGGUUCCCAAUGCUUUGAGAAAGCAUUGGAUUGGCUGAUGAUCUCAGCCAAGGAGGCGAAUCAGGGUAGAGCCAGCGCCAGCUGACCUGUGCAGUGCUGGAAUAAAACGACAGGAAUACAUAUUUGUAUUCCUGUCACUAUAGUGUUCCUUUAAAGGGCUACUAUAGGCACCCAGACCAUUUCAGUUAAUUGAAGUAGUCUGGUUGCUGUGACCCUUUGUAAACAUUGCAGCUCUAAGUUUGCCCCCAUGGGCUCUCUACAAGACAGCCACUAGAGGGCUUCCGGGAUCCAAACGGACUUUUGGUAUGUUAUCUUGAAUAACAUUGAAUAAUGCUUUCCUAUGGGGAUGUCUUAUGCGCGCGCGCCCAUUGCCACGCAUGCACAUUAGAUCUCCCCCGGACUGAUGGUGGAGGAGGAGCGUGGGCGGAUCCUGAUCCAGCACCGAGUGACAUUGGUGAUGGAUUCAGGUUAGUGGCUGAAGGGGUUUUAUAGAUUUUCUAUUGCUUACCUGCCUCUAUACUUUACUUACCUACUAGAAAUAUUAUGUUGAGGGUUUUUUCUGUUGCUUUAUUAACAUUGGACUGUUUAGACCCAGAUGACAACUUGUAAUGUAUAUUUUUCCACCCACCAUCAUUUUGGCUUGAUCUUAUAUGAGGACUGACUCUGGUGCUAGUAAAGUGCUUAGAAUGCAGAUAAACAGAAACUUAAUUAGACUUUGCUAAAGGCCAGCCUAACAAAGAAACCAAGAUAAUAUUGUGUUAAAGUUAAUACAGUAAAGUAAUUAUCACACUGACGGGAGCUAUUAAAAACAUCUAAAAAUUAUUAAUGAACUGGAUUAAGCAAUUUGCUACUCUAAAAAUGUAGCCUAGAUAACGAACUAUUAGAUAAGAAAUAUUAGUCCUCCGAAGCUGCAGGCUAUUAAAAUAAUAUAUUUUUGUUUCUACAUAACACCAUAGCAACUUGCCUAAACCUCUAUUAAACCCAAGCUCCUGUUAGCUUUGCAGGUGCUUGGGCUGCAGGGAGUUUACAGAUGUGGUAAAAAAACUUCCCCUGAGGACCUCAAGGAUCAAGAGCAAUGAUAUGACUUGGAGCAGAGUUCUUCAAGCUGAGGUUCAGGUCCCACCAACAGACCAAGCUAUGACGAUAUUCUUAUGCACAUUGUCUUAUAAUGAACAAGUCUUUCAAUAAAAAUAGGUGUCACUGACCAAAUUUGCUAUAGUAAAGCACAAAUAUGAUGAUGGGUCUGCUGAUGAAUCUUGAGUACAGCUUGAAGAACAUGUCCUAGACCAGUGGUUCUCAAACCUGACCACAUGGCCCACGAACAGUCCAGGUUUUGUCAGUAUCUGCAUUGGAAUAAAAAAGAAUUGUGUUUUCUGUAAACAGAUGCAUUUAUAAUUAAUUCAUUACUAACAAUAUUGCUUCCUGGUAAUCUAACAAAACUCUUAUUUUUCUUGCAGGUAACAUCACAAGAAGUUGCCAGUGCCUAAAGUAUCCAUUGAUUUUUGUUUUGGCAAGAUCUUCAAAGAAGCAGAGGACUUAGACCAAAUUGUUUUAAUGCAUUGUAGAAAUCAUGUAACUUAUAGGAAGGCAGGUGAGAGAGGAGGAUUGUGCUCGGAAACACUUUUAACUUUUAUUUAUUCAGUUAUUUUUAAACAUUUGAAAGAUUCCCUAAUGUUUUGUCCUAACCUCCUAUUAGCAGCUGGCACGAAAAGGGGAGAGAGGAAAUUGUUUGCACAUUUGUAUACAAGUGUCUGUCUGGAGAAGCAGCCACAUUAACUCACAAAUAACAACCUUGCCAAAAAAUUCAGCUGUGCAGGAAUUAUGCAUUGCUAAACUUUCAUAUUUAUCUAGAACAGUUUGGGAUUUGAAGAAUUAACACCACAACCUUUAGCAUUCGUUAGUAUUCUAGAAUAAAGAUCUUAGAUUAUAUUAUAUUAACCUGCAUGGAUAGUUAAUUCGAUGUUCGUGCCCCAAAAAUAUUUUUGUUGAUUCUCGAUUUUUGUUUUAUUUAUUUUUUUAAUGUAUACUGAACUGUAUUGGAUCCUGCAUGGUGCAAAAAUGAAGCUAAUUACCAACGUACUGUAAUUUUUGUUGAUGAUGUUCUUGGUGAGGUCCUGAGCGUCCAUACAAGGCAUCCUGUUGACCAGUGUCUCCCAGCCCAAGGUGCAGUGCUGCAUCUCUGGUCAGUUGUGAGUCUGAGAUGAAGCACUGUAGCUCGGGAAGGCGGAAUUAUGCGGCAGUUUAGAAGAAAGUGCAAGAAAAAUUUUACUCAAUGGAAUCAACCAUCUAAUGGAUUUCAACAAGGAGAAACUUUCAUCUUUAUUGAAAUGUGCAUGUGGGAAAUGGCCCUGAUGUUUUUUGGAUGUUUGUCAUAUGUAGACAAUGUUUGGUGAUGUAGACAAAGUAAGUUUCCCAAAAACUGUAAAAUAAUGUUAAUAUUGAAUUCUACAGCUAUGAUCUGAAUUAUCCUGCUACUACUAUGAUUGUAUGACACGGUACUUAAAGAAACACUCUGGGCACCACCAUAACUUCAACAAAAUUAAGUUGUUAUGGUGCCAGGAGGUCCAUUCUUUAUCCAUAGUGGUUAAACUGUUCACUUAUUUUUUAUAAAUGGGGACCUGGUGAUUGGCUUAGAGAGUCAACUCACUGCUCUAAGUCAAUCAACUGUGCCAAUUUCCUGCGCCAGUCACUGCUUCCUGGAUCUGAAUUUGAUAAACUGAACAUCAUGGCAGACAGGCAGGACCAGCACUGUUAGGACAACUGUGGAAUUAAACGGUUUAAACCCUAUGGGUAAGGACACCAUGAUAACUUUAUUUUGACUAAAUUUUUUUAUGUGUCUGGAGUGUUCCUUUAAUACUCAGCGUAGUGCAUGUAAUAAAACCUUUGUAAUUUGCACAAAAAUUUUAGAUGGCUGGAUUACUCUUAUACAGAGGAGAAAACCUAUAAAAUAAAUCUGUAUGCAUGCUAGCAUUUAUGAAGUUGAACUAGUACAUUAUUUCCUUAAAUGACCCCUUAAUGAAGAGCCUGGCCACCCGUUAUCAUGCUACUCAUUGAUUCCUUCUUUUCUACAUGUUGAUUUAAUCCUUCCAAAAUAUUUCUAAUGACAUCCAUCCAUACUAAAAGUAUAGUAUUCAUAGAAAAUGGUGGUAGAAUAUUAGGGCGUUGCAUCAAAAGUUUUCAAAUAUCUGGAUAUUAUUCUAUGAAAUGAUUGUUGACAUAUCUUUAAAAAAUUCUAGCUGGGCAAGUUAUUCUCUGGAAAGUGUGGCUAACACAUGACUCUUAAUACAAUUUGUUAACUUGUCAGCCUAUGGAGUCCAAAUAUCAGUGACUUAAAUUAUUUGCUUGAAUGUGUAAAAGUAUAUCAGCAGUAAAAAAAAAACAGCUUCAAAUCUAGAUGUUGGAAAUAGCUAAAACAUUUCAAGUACCGUAUUUCGCCACAUAAUGGUCGCCACCGCAAAAACCCUGGUUUUUAAGUAAAAAAAUUGGCUCAAAUUCAAAUUAUCACGUAAUAGUCACAUAGUUGACCAUUGCUGUUUUUGUUGUGAGACAUUCUUAUUCUUGAAAACUAAUGGCGAAUAUCCUACUGAGCUUAUACAGAAGAGAGGGUUUAUUACCUAUCAGUUUAUCUUAUUUUAGUGCAUUUUAUCUAUGUAACGCAUUAUAAAAUGACAGGAGGACAGGGAUCAGGAUUAGAGCUUACGUAAUGCAUUAGAAAAUAUGCUAUGUUUUGUUAUCAAUAACUAUAAUGUUAUCAGCAACCGUUAAUAACAAAUCUUUGCAUAUAUUAUAUUGCAAAAAAUAAAGCUUCACAUAAUGGUCGCACCCCCAUUUUAAGGAAAGGAAUUAGUCAUAAAAUAUGCGACCAUUAUGCAUUGAAAUACGGUAUUCUGCAGUGCUUACUUUGAUUGGCGUCUUUGAAAGAACGUUAAGACAGAAGAAAGAUCUGAUCAAUAAGCCUUACCAUGUUUCUUUGAUGUGUUUGUUUGUCAUGUUGCACUUGUUUUUGAGAAAAUAUACACUUUUUUAGACUCUGGGUAGUUGCCCUUCAAUAACAUUUGCAUUGCGUACAUAGUUUAGUUAAAAAAUAAGUAGACAAUAACAGCUUUAUGAGUGAGUUGCACCUAUAAUUCCACCCGAUUAAUUGAGAUCAUAUCAAGGUGUUCAUGUCAGGUGAUACAUUUUACAUUGACAUUUGACGUGGUUGAAAAAUUGCUUGAAGUCGAAAAUUUGCAGAAGGGUCUGAUUGGCUGUUGUGGCUGGUCACUUUGGAUUGUUGAGUGAAACCCAUUUGACCUAGUCUUCGAGGUCCAGUUUUCCCAGGAAUCCCUUGGGUGUUGUGGUGGGGAUUCCUGGAAAUACUGUUCUUGUGGUCUAGGUUUUGCAUCUGAGAACAUCUCUUGCUUCCAUGAAAGUAAUAACAGGUGAGUCAAAAUAAAUGUUGUAUUUAUUGAUGUCAAGUACUUUUAUUGAACAUUUUAAGUGCCAGGUUAGGAGAUGCCAAAAAUAAGUAAACAAAAAGCAUUUUUUCACAUUUUGGUCUUGUGCAACAAACUUUUACCUCUGAUGAAAAUCUUUUAUUAUAGGGUUGAAACUUCAGACAUCUUUGCUAAAACUUUUAUUUAUUUUGUAUUUACUUUGUCUACUUUGCAGUACCUUUGAGUUAAAAGUGCAGUCUAAGCACCACAAGAACAUUGUAUCUAGAUAAAUAACCACCCUAUGCAGCGCCCACUCACUCUACCAAGAGUAGGCUGUAGUGUCAGCAGUUAGUGAAGAUCACUGCUGUUUUAAGACAAUCCACUCAAACAAUCAAAUCAAACAGCCCGACACAUGUAGAUCCAGGCUGCCAGUGUCAAUUUCAUGCCGAAUGUACGUGUAGUGUGAGAUGCAGUGUCAAUAUUAUUCCCAUUUUAGUAGGCAUGACAAUUUGUACUGUAUAAUUUAAUAAUCUGUAAUACUAUUUGAUAGUUUUUUUCUUUAUAAAAACAUGUAGGUAAUAUACAUUUUAAAUAAAGUGAAUGAAAUAAUCCUUGGUUAUGUGUUUUGUGUCAAAAUUUAUGGAGAUUACAAGUCACCCACCACAUUGAGGUUGUAAAUUGCAGGUGAGAUAUGGAAUACUGAAAUAAAACAAAAUGGUG